GCCACCAGCACACCGGGGUGCGGGUGAACCAGCAGCAGGCACCCCCCGCCUCCCUGGGGGGACCAGAGAGACCCUGAGAAGCGAGCAGCUCCUGGUCCCAGUGCGAAAGCCAAGCUGCAGCUCCGGCGUGGGCGGACGUGGAGGCCGGGGGCAGGAGCUGUGGCAAAGACACGUCCUGCCCCUCUUCGCUGUCAAGCCUCGCGCUGCAGCCAGAGGACUGACAGCAGCAGCCGGGAAGCAAAACACAGCAAAAAAAUGAACACGCGUGUACAUUUAUAGUUAAACCUUCUCCAAGGAGAUAGAACACUGUCUG